GAAAACAUGUUUGAGAGACACACGAGAGUAAGUGACACGUAAAGAUGUAAAGAGAAGAGGUCGCACGUCGUAAUUAGCACUGAGUAAACUGCGAUCCUCCGGUAUCCACGUUUUAACUGCCACUUGUUCUCACCACCGGUAGAGAAAACUGAGCUGGCAAACACACAAAGCUUUGAGAAACAAUUUAACGGAUGUGAAGUAACGUUAUUGGGUUAUAAGUGACCGACACCGCGGACACACGGGCGUUAGAAUGGAUCUAUGGUAUAAAUGCGGUGAUGACAAGGAGAACAGCUGGAACUUUUACAUAUAGCAUAAAAGAGGGGAAGAGACUCACGGACGCAGACUCCAGCCCCGGCUUCAUCCCCUGGAUCUGGGGUGUAGUCAGGCACGCAAGAGAGGUUCGUGUCGCACCGUCCCCCCGUGGCCCCGCCACAACUCUGCCCGGGCCCAGGCGUCGUCUGCUCCGGGUCGUCGCCGCAGAUACUGAGCCCGAACCAGAACCAGAACCAGAGCCAGAACCAGAACCAGGGCAGGGCCCGGUCCGUCCGCAUGGCUGCCAUCGGCCGCCGGUUAAAACUUCCAAA